rnacentral:rRNA from 1 species
GAGUUUGAUCUUGGCUCAGAUUGAACGCUGGCGGCAUGCCUUACACAUGCAAGUCGAACGGUAACAGGUCUUCGGACGCUGACGAGUGGCGAACGGGUGAGUAAUACAUCGGAACGUGCCCAGUCGUGGGGAUAACUACUCGAAAGAGUAGCUAAUACCGCAUACGAUCUGAGGAUGAAAGCGGGGGACCGUUCGGCCGUCGCGCGAUUGGAGCGGCCGAUGGCAGAUUAGGUAGUUGGUGGGAUAAAAGCUUACCAAGCCGACGAUCUGUAGCUGGACGUGA